rnacentral:rRNA from 1 species
UACGGGGGGGGUAAGCGUUGUUCGGAAUUACUGGGCGUAAAGGGCUCGUAGGCGGCCAACUAAGUCAGACGUGAAAUCCCUCAGCUUAACUGGGGAACUGCGUCUGAUACUGGAUGGCUUGGAUUCGGGAGAGGAAUGCGGAAUUCCAGGUGUAGCGGUGAAAUGCGUAGAUAUCUGGAGGAGCACCGGUGGCGAAGGCGGCAUUCUGGACCGACAUUGACGCUGAGGAGCGAAAGCCAGGGGAGCAAACGGG